rnacentral:tRNA from 1 species
GCCUGGGUGGCUCAGUCGGUUGAGCGUCCGACUUGGGCUCAGGUCAUGAUCUCGCGGCCCGUGAGUUCGAGACCCACGUCGGGCG